CCCUACGGGGGGCAGCAGUGGGGAAUAUUGGACAAUGGGGGGAACCCUGAUCCAGCGACGCCGCGUGAGUGAAGAAGUAUUUCGGUAUGUAAAGCUCUAUCAGCAGGGAAGAAAGAAAUGACGGUACCUGACUAAGAAGCCCCGGCUAACUACGUGCCAGCAGCCGCGGUAAUACGUAGGGGGCAAGCGUUAUCCGGAAUUACUGGGUGUAAAGGGAGCGUAGACGGCUGGGCAAGUCUGGAGUGAAAGGCGGGGGCCCAACCCCCGGACUGCUCUGGAAACUGUAUGGCUGGAGUGCAGGAGAG
rnacentral:rRNA from 1 species